rnacentral:rRNA from 1 species
UAAGGAAUAUUGGUCAAUGGACGAAAGCCUGAUCGAGCGACGCCGCGUGCAGGAUGAAGGCCCUCGGGUUGUAAACUGCGGUAGUAGGGGAGGAACGCAAGUGACUGUACCCUACGGAAAGUGGUUGGUAACUACGUGCCAGCACCAGCGGUAAUACGUAGACCACAAGCGUUAUCCGGAUUUAUUGGGCGUAAAGAGCAUGUAGGAGGUCCGGUGCGUCUCUGGUUAAAGCCCACCGCCUAACGGUGGAAGUGCCAGAGAUACGAUCGGACUGGAGGAUGUGAGAGGUGCAUGGAACUCACGGUGUAGGGGUGAAAUCCGUUGAUAUCGUGGGGAACACCAAAGGCGAAGGCAGUGCACUGGUACAUUCCUGACUCUGAGAUGCGAAAGCGUGGGGAGCAAAAAGGAUUAGAUACCCACGUAGUCCCUGAGCGGGCUGGCAAGGCGCAU